rnacentral:lncRNA from 1 species
AAUUACUUCUUUGCAACGAAAAGGGCUCCCUUGAACGUACGUAACGUGGGGAGCUAACAAUGAACAAUUAAAUGAUUACACUGCUUUUGGUCAAGAGGAUAGAAUAGCAAACGAUAUAAACUGCAUCUUUUAUGUUGGCCUUUUCUUUUAUUUAUAACAGUAGUAUAUAACCUUCAGCUUGGUAUACCAUUUCUUCGAGCAAUUGAAAACUAUUUUUCAUGCUUUUCCGUGCGGAGUGGAGAACACAGGUAUCGAUCGUUUCAACGCGUCAUCCUCGUCGUCCUCGUCCUCGUCCUCGUCCUCGUCCUCGGGACCGGUCGAUAACGAGGAAAUGCGAAAACACGAUAGGUAAGAAGAUUCUCCGUCCUCGUUCAAUGUUUUAUCGCUCAAACUAGAGUUCCGAGUGGUCAACGGUUGAGUUUAUAAAAAUCUCUUUUUAUUUCACAUCAGACAGGAUUCGAGAUUGAAUUAUCGCUGCUUGUUUGCCGAAAACGAAGGUGCCUUCGCUGACAGGAGAAAGAAAAAAGAGAGAGAGAGAGAGAACCCUUUCUCGGUAGAGAGUCUACGAAAGGAGAGAACUCUUCUCCGAUCUUCUUCGGGCGUCAUCGGUAUUAUCCGCAUCCUUCGAAUCGCGAUGCGCCUGGUUCGAUUCCAUGGGCGCAAUAGGAUAGGCCGUCCUUUUUCCCGCAUCGACGUGUGUAAGCAGCCAGACCGGUAACAGUCCCUCUUUCCCUUCUUCCUCGGGAUGUAAACAGGGUCUAUGACGAGUCCUCUGCUCUCGGUGGAGGAACGAAAGAAAGAAAGAAAGAGAAAAAGAUAUAAGAGAACGCGUUCUCUCUGUCGUGCUCGCUCAGCGACAAGAUGGUGAGGAGGAGGAGGAGGAGACCGAGAGAGCUGUGUGAAUCGAGCCUAAGGGCGAGGAGAGAACGGUGAAGGCUCGCCGGUGGUGUUGGUGGGAGAGGAAAAGAGGGGAGCUUGAAAAAAUGUGUAGGUGCGCGCGCACCCGCUUUGUCUCUCUUGUCGGCGGUGCGCGCGGUGGUGGUGGGGGGGGAGGUGGCAUGGACCACGAGGGGCCACAGGGGUCCGUGAGCGGAGCAUGGCGACUGCAUCCUUUCAGUCGGCCGGUGAACCCGCGUGCCGUACGGUUGUUUCUUCGUUUUUCCGCACCGCCUGUGCGUUUUCUCUCUCUAUCCUUACGUUUCGCGGUUUCUAUCUUUCUUAUAAUUAUCUCCCUUAAUUUUCUUCGGCUAUAAUAUUUUGCUUAUUUUUUUUUUCAAAUAUAGAGUGAACCUCAUAUUUUUUAUCCGAUCACAUAGUAAGAAUCGUCGCGUGUGAUAUUCUGAUAUUUUUUCAUUGACGUUGUUGUCAUCGUAGUUGUCUCGUCGACGUUGCACAUACGUGCACCGUGCAUACGUUUUUUUUUUGCAAAUAUAUAUAUAUAUAUUUUUUUCUUUCUCUCCUCCUUUCUUUCUUUCUAUUUACUUUCUUCCGACCGUGUAGUUUCCUUGCUUCAUAACGAAGAUUAACUACGAGAUUCUCAUCCGAGAGAAGGAAGAAUUCUCUCGCAGGACCUUGUGGAUUUUUCUUCGACGUUUCGUCAUUCAUCCUCUUCAUCGUACACGGGCGCUAAGCCUUUGAGAACUUCUCCUGCAUGAUUUCGUACGACCCGACGUCGUACGUAAGAAACAGGAAGAACGCGUUCGCCAUCGUGGAUGAUGUAGUAGCCUCUGGGUUACUUAUCGACGAGUCAGACGUCGAGGAUGCAUGUCGUGAGAAUAAUAUCAAGAGUCGA